AUUCUGUUACUUCGUUUUCCGGUAAUAAAUCUCUAUACUUUUGUAUAGAAGCUUAUGGUUACGUGGGUAUCUUUUUGCUUGGGUUAUUGGACAGUAUGCUCGAAUAAAAUUAACUGAUUUUCCUGUGGAAAUAGAAGAUCCUUAGCUUGAAUUGUUUUAAAUGUAGAAUCGUUUUGAUACAGUUGUACUGUUUCAUAAAGUUGCCUAUUUGCCUUCCCCCCUCCCCUUCUUU
rnacentral:misc_RNA from 1 species